UACGUAGGCAGCAAGCGUUGUUCGGAAUUACUGGGCGUAAAGAGUGUGUAGGCGGUGCUCUAAGUCUGUUGUGAGAUCUCCCGGCUUAACUGGGAGGGUGCGGCGGAGACUGGAGUGCUAGAGUGUGGGAGAGGUAAGCGGAAUUCCUGGUGUAGCGGUGAAAUGCGUAGAUAUCAGGAGGAACACCUGUGGUGUAGACAGCUUACUGGACCACGACUGACGCUGAGACACGAAAGCGUGGGUAGCAAACAGG
rnacentral:rRNA from 1 species